GGGCGCCCCCUGGCGGUCGUGCCCUGGGGCAGCGGGGGGGGGGAACCCCACCCCACCCCUGGGCGUGGGUCCCUAUAGGAUCUGCCCCACGUGAGCGGGGCCAUACGGGGCCCGACCCACGCAGGAGGCUCCGUAUGGGACCCACGCGUGUCUGUGGGUCCCUGCAGGAUCCAAUCCACGUGUGUGGGGCCGCAUGGACCCCACCUGUGCGCGUGGCUCCAUAGGGGACGCGACCCACACGUGGGGCUCCACGGGAGCCUUGACCCCUGUGGUGGUCAGUAUGGGUAGAGGACCCAUAUGGACCCGUCAGUGUGGUUCACACGGCUCAUGCAGUCCCGCACUUGUGCACACGGGGAGGUUUGGGAUCCCCCCUAGGAGCGUGUGACCAGGCAGGACCUGACCAGCACACGUAGAUCCGUGCGGGACCCGAUCCCUGUGUGCACUGAUCCAUCCAGGACCUGCCCCACGCCUGAGAGGCCAUGGGACCCAGCCCCCACCCACAGCCCCGUGGGGACCUGACCCCCCCCCAUACGCACACCAUAGAAACGUCACCCCCCCCAUCCACACGCCAUAGGGACAUAUCCCCCCCCAUACACACACCGUAGGGACCUGACCCCCCCCGUGCAGGACGUCCCUGGUGAAUGGGUGCGGACGGGACGGGGCAGCGAUGCCACCUCCCAGCGGGCAGCAGCCGGAGCGGUGCCAUCUCCCAGCAUUGGUUCCCAGCAGCAGGGCAGGGCACGGCCCCCCCCCCGGACCCCCCCAAUUUGCUCCUAACGCUGUCUCUCCUCUCCCGCAUGCUGCAGAGCGGGGCAUGGUGCCGCCGGGCUGAGCGCUGGCACGCAGCGGGGGGGUGAGCGGAGCCAUGGAGGGGCCCGGCCAGGACACCGAGGACGCGUUACGCAGGAGCCUGGACCCCGAGGGCUACGAGGACACCAAGGGCUCCAGGAUAUCCCUGGGGGGGAUGAGCAGGGCCGUUGGCGGCACCGGGUCCCCUCUGCGGAGGGCGAGAGGCGAG